AUUGAACGCUGGCGGCAGGCUUAACACAUGCAAGUCGAGCGGGGACUUCGGUCCUAGCGGCGAACGGGUGAGGAAUGCUUGGGAAUCUGCCCAGUAGUGGGGGAUAACGUUUCGAAAGGAACGCUAAUACCGCAUACGUCCUACGGGAGAAAGGGGGGGAUCUUCGGACCUCUCGCGAUUGGAUGAGCCCAAGUCGGAUUGGAGCUAGGUGGUGGGGUAAAGGCCUACCAAGGCGACGAUCCGUAGCUGGUCUGAGAGGAUGAUCAGCCACACUGGAACUGAGACACGGGCAGGAAUCCUACGGGAGGCAGCAGUGGGGAAUAUUGGACAAUGGGCGAAAGCCUGAUCCAGCCAUGCCGCGUGUGUGAAGAAGGCCUUCGGGUUGUAGAGCACUUUAAGUGGGGAGGAAUGGCUCUUGGUUAAUAACCUUGAGCAGUGACGUUACCCACAGAAUAAGCACCGGCUAACUCUGUGCCAGCCGCCGCCGUAAAAC
rnacentral:rRNA from 1 species